GGGGGCCCGCAAGCGGUGGAGCAUGUGGUUUAAUUCGAUGCAACGCGAAGAACCUUACCUACUCUUGACAUCCAGAGAAUUUAGCAGAGAUGCUUUAGUGCCUUCGGGAACUCUGAGACAGGUGCUGCAUGGCUGUCGUCAGCUCGUGUUGUGAAAUGUUGGGUUAAGUCCCGCAACGAGCGCAACCCUUAUCCUUUGUUGCCAGCACGUAAUGGUGGGAACUCAAAGGAGACUGCCGGUGAUAAACCGGAGGAAGGUGGGGAUGACGUCAAGUCAUCAUGGCCCUUACGAGUAGGGCUACACACGUGCUACAAUGGCGCAUACAAAGAGAAGCGACCUCGCGAGAGCAAGCGGACCUCAUAAAGUGCGUCGUACUCCGGAUUGGAGUCUGCAACUCGACUCCAUGAAGUCGGAAUCGCUAGUAAUCGUAAAUCAGAAUGUUACGGUGAAUACGUUCCCGGGCCUUGUACACACC
rnacentral:rRNA from 1 species